UUCCUAACCCAUGCAGUAAUCUGCAGAGUUGGGUUGUAGGGGAAGGUGUCCACAAAUGUUCUCAAAUUUGUGUUGUGAUGGGGUGACAGCAGAGCCAGACACCUUGCUCUGCAGCUGAAUGGAGGAACAUUAUUCAAACUGUUAUGGGCAGAGUAGAAAGAAGUGUGGUUAGCAAAGCCUGUCUCUUCUAGAAACUUGUUUCUAGGCUAUCACUGCAGUAAAUAAUCAGGAUUGUUCCCAUCUGCUUAAGAAAUAUCACUGGUCCCCACACAGGCUGACCUCCACCUCUCCAGGGAAAGAACCUGGUGCAGCACUGAAGGCUCUCCCUGACAGAAAUGCUUUGUGUGGUGGGGAGUGCAGUGUAUCCCGAAAUCUCCUGCACAGUGCUGCACAGAUCAUCUUCAAGAUGGGAUUAAUUUCCAUGAACUUUAGCAGCCUGGAAAACAGCUAUGUUGUCUAAUGUGGCCCUCCUGUCAGUGGAGAAGCUCCAUCUUCUCUUGAGGUGGCUGCACCACACAGCAACAGCACGGCUGCAAAAACAAGCAGGGGAAAGGGAGGAGUUUGGGUGAAGCUGUCAGAAGAAUUGCUGCUACUGUAGAUAGGCACUCCCCAAAAUUCAGCCAGAGACCCCAAGAGCAAGUUCUGUUUUCUUGCCAUCCCAUGGAGACCUUGUUGCCUCUAAAUGAGGAAUAUCGUUUGUGAUGGGGGCUCUUCUGUCCUUCUGGGACUCUUCCCUUUCAUGCUGACCUAAGGAAGAAUCUGUCAUUCAUUUGAGGAUCUCAGUUUCUUCAUUUAUUCAGAGAACAUCUUCACUUCAGAAUGUGAAGAGAUGAGCUUCAGAGCUGAGAGCCAAAGCCAUGAUUCUUGUUAUCACAGAGCUGGUGACAGCUGUACAGACAGGGAGCUUCCCAUGGUGGAUCCACACAUCUGCAAGUCUGAGGGAGUGAAAUUGAUGAGGGAGUCCUGGAAUUAUCAGAGGAUGGGAAAGAUGGAUGGACUUUCCUGAGCAACUCCUGGUACAGGUAAACCCAACUCAUCUCUUUCUUAGACUGCACAUGGUGAAAAAUCCUCCCAAAGCCAUGUCUGUCUGGCAAAUGCAGUGAGCAACAGUGGCCUCCCGGCACCCAGCCCCCACAUGGCAGAUGGAGCUGAGCAAGAGGCAGUUUUGUGCUGGUUUGUGUCUUUCAAGGAAAUAAUUCCUUGAAGAGGAGGGAGGGCUCUGCUCCAGGGAGAUAAGCAGUCCCAUUGAGGCAGACCUCUGGUGUUUCUUCUCUUCCCAUUUCACAAGGCAGCAUCAUGAAGGAUGGCACAAAGAGGGCUGUGGAGCAGGGUGGGAGCCCUGAGGUGGUGCUUGGAAGCCUGGCCUCAUCCAACCAUCU